rnacentral:piRNA from 1 species
UACAGAUGUUUGAUGUCCGGAGUAAUC